UUUUUGUGGGUGAAAUUAGGUAGUGGCAGUGGAAGGCUAUAUUAAUCAUCCUUCCACUGCCACUACCUAAUUUCUCAGAUGGAAA
rnacentral:miRNA from 1 species